rnacentral:rRNA from 1 species
AAAACUUUCAACAACGGAUCUCUUGGUUCUGGCGUCGAUGAAGAACGCAGCGAAAUGCGAUAAGUAAUGUGAAUUGC